GAUGAACGCUGGCGGCGUGCCUAAUACAUGCAAGUCGAGCGAAAAGACGAUAAGCUUGCGCCCCUGACGUUAGCGGCGGACGGGCGAGUAACACGUGGAUAACCUACCUAUAAUUCUUGGAGAAUAUCGGGAAGCCGCAGCUAAUACUGGAUAAUAUAUUGAACCGCAUGGUUCAAUAGUGAAACACGGCUUUCGCGUUACAUAUAGCUGGAUCCGCGUCGCAUUAGCUAGUUGGUAAGGUAACGGCGUACCAAGGCAACGAUGCGUAGCCGACCUGAGAGGGUGAUCGGCCACACUGGAACUGAGACACGGUCCAGACUCCUACGGGAGGCAGCAGUGGGGAAUAUUGGACAAUGGGCGAAAGCCUGACGGAGCAACGCCGCGUGAGUGAUGAAGGUCUUCGGAUCGUAAAGCUCUGUUAUUAGGGAAGAACAACUGUGUAAGUAUCUAUGGCCGCCCUGACGGUACCUAAACAAUAAGCACCGGCUAACUACGUG
rnacentral:rRNA from 1 species